rfam:Oryza glumipatula chromosome 8, whole genome shotgun sequence.
AAAAAGACAAACUCUGAGUUUUCACGUCAACGUUUGACUACCCAUCUUAUAUGAAAUUUUUUUUAUAAUUACUAUUUUCAUUGUUGUUAGAUGAUAAAACAUGAUUAAUACUUUUGUGUGACUUAUCUUUUUAAUUUUUUUCAUAUUUUUUUAAAUAAGACGGACGGUCAAACGUUGGACACGGAAACUCAGGGUUUGUCUUUUU